GAAACUAGGAAAGCAGAAAACAGAAAUAGUGUAAUUUUGUAACAUUAACAGGGUCUCCAGAAGCUGUGAGUGGGAUGAGACACUACCACUUCCAACAGUGCGAUGGGCUCUGUGAUCUGGCACACCGGACCUCUCAUGAGCCCUUAAAACAGAGAACUUUUGCUGGCAGCAGGAACGGCCAGUCAGAGGGAUUCCAAACCUGAAAAGGUUUUGUUCAGCCCCUGGUGACUUGAAAGUUGAGGCAGCCAGGUGAUGAGGAAGGCAGCGGCCUUCAGGAUCUGGGAGCAGAGCAGCCCCCAGCUGACAGCCAGCAGGGGAACAGGGAGCAGACCUCAGUCCUACAACCACAAGCAACUGGAUCCUGCCAACCUGAAGGAAGCUGGAGAUGGAUUCCUGCCCAGAUUCUCCAGAGCAUGGAUUGCCCAAUUUUCAGCUGCUGGUGAGUAAGCAGCACACUGCACGAAGG
rnacentral:lncRNA from 10 species